rnacentral:rRNA from 1 species
CCUACGGGCGGCAGCAGUGAGGAAUAUUGGUCAAUGGCCGUAAGGCUGAACCAGCCAAGUCGCGUGAAGGAAGAAGGAUCUAUGUUUUGUAAACCUCUUUUAUAGGGGAAUAAAGGUGUCCACGUGUGGAUAUUUGCAUGUACCCUAUGAAUAAGCAUCGGCUAACUCCGUGCCAGCAGCCGCGGUAAUACGGAGGAUGCGAACGUUAUCCGGAUUUAUUGGGUUUAAAGGGUGCGUAGGUUGUUUUUUAAGUCAGCGGGGAAAGUUUAUGGCUCAACCAUAAAAUUGCCGUUGAAACUGGAGGAAUUGAGGGUGUGAGAGGUAGGCGGAAUGCGCGGUGUAGCGGUGAAAUGCAUAGAUAUCACGCAGAACUCCGAUUGCGAAGGCAGCUUACUAGGCCCUAACUGACGCUGAAGCACGAAAGCGUGGGGAUCAAACAGGAUUAGAUACCCUAGUAGUC